UCAAGAUGAACGCUAGCGGCAGGCUUAACACAUGCAAGUCGAGGGGUAUAGUUCUUCGGAACUAGAGACCGGCGCACGGGUGCGUAACGCGUAUGCAAUCUACCUUUCACAGAGGGAUAGCCCAGAGAAAUUUGGAUUAAUACCUCAUAGUAUAGUAAUACCGCAUGGUACUACUAUUAAAGUCACAACGGUGAAAGAUGAGCAUGCGUCCCAUUAGCUAGUUGGUAAGGUAACGGCUUACCAAGGCAACGAUGGGUAGGGGUCCUGAGAGGGAGAUCCCCCACACUGGUACUGAGACACGGACCAGACU
rnacentral:rRNA from 1 species